rnacentral:rRNA from 1 species
GAUGAACGCUAGCCGCAGGCCUAACACAUGCAAGUCGAGGGGCAGCUCAGAAACAGCAAUGUUUUGGUGGCGACCGGCAGACGGGUGCGUAACGCGUAUGCAACCUACCUUUAACAGGGGUAUAACGGAGAGAAAUUUCCACUAAUACCCCAUAACAUCGAUCAAGGCAUCUUGAUUGGUUGAAAACUCCGGUGGUUAAAGAUGGGCAUGCGUUGUAUUAGGUAGUUGGUGAGGUAAUGGCUCACCAAGCCUACGAUACAUAGGGCGACUUAGAGGUUAGCCCCCCAAACGGGUACGGAGACACGGACCAGUCUCCUACGGGAGGCAGCAGUGAGGAAUAUUGUUCAAUGGAGGCAACCUUGAACCGGCCAUGCCGCGUGCAGGAAGACGGCUCUAUGAGUUGUAAACUGCUUUUAAACAGGGAUAAAGCACAGUAUGUAUACUGUGUUGAAGGUACUGUAAGAAUAAGGAUCGGCUAACUCCGUGCCAGCCGCCGCCGUAA